CCUACGGGUGGCAGCAGUGGGGAAUUUUGCACAAUGGGGGAAACCCUGAUGCAGCGACGCCGCGUGAGCGAUGAAGUAUUUCGGUAUGUAAAGUCCUACCAGCAGGGCGGAAGAUUACGGUACCUGACUAAGAAGCCCCGGCUAACUACGUGCCAGCAGCCGCGGUCAUACGUAGGGGGCAAGCGUUAUCCGGAUUUACUGGGUGUAAAGGGUGCGUAGACGGCGAUGCAAGCCAGGUGUGAAAGCCGGGGGCUCAACCCCGGGACUGCAUUUGAAACUUUGAGGCUGGAGUGUGGGAGAGGCAGGCGGAAUUCCUGGUGUAGCGGUGAAAUGCGUAGAUAUUAGGAGGAACACCAGUGGCGAAGGCGGCCUGCUGGACGGUGACUGACGUUGAGGAUCGAAAGCGUGGGGAGCAAACGGGAUUAGAUACCCCUGUAGUC
rnacentral:rRNA from 1 species